rnacentral:misc_RNA from 1 species
CUGAAAAUGAGUAUAGGAACUAACCCAAUUCUAGCAUUAUAAGCUAACCAGUGAGCACAUUUGUCAGCUUCUCUAGAUCUAAAAGAUACAUUCCAAGAAGGAUAAGCCUGCAACAACAUUUUAGUAUCAAGGAUCACGGCUUCGAUAUCCCCAGGCAGUAGAUCUGAUGAAGAAAUCAACUAGGAAAGAAUGAGAGAAUCUGUUUCAAACACCACCUUGAAGAAACCUUUGGCUAUAGGGGAACUACUGAAUAUCCUGCAUAACCAUCUAGCACAAAUCCAAGGUAAUCUCUAGCAAUUAUGCCAAUACUAGCAUAAGCAGAUUCCCUCAUAAAAGAGGCAUAAAUGUUAAUCUUGAUAGUGUCCCGUAAAGGAGGAGACCAUCUAACAGGAUCCAGAACAGCAGGAGCUAAAGCAUUUGGGCACAAAAUGGUGUUGCUGAGGAGCCAAUGAGAACAACUCUUCAACUGCAUUCUAGGCCUUAGCAAUGGUGAAACAAGUAAUUGGAUCCUUUAGAAUUAUACGCUGCAUCAUUCAUGGUCUUCCAAAUGUGCCAACGCAACAUAGCAGCUAAACAAAAGCUGUCUACCAUCAACAUCAUUAAGAAAAUUAUGAAGACGAUGCCACCAAUCAACAAAAGCACUAAAACCAUUUUCAUGAGCUUAAAAACAAUGUAAAGAUCCAAACCAUGAGGCCUUAAUGUGAGCACAAAAGAAGAUGACAUGCUCGGUAGAUUCCAACGGAGAACCACAUAAACGACACAUAGGUAAGGUGGCACACUUUUAAACAGAUUUUCUUUUGCAGUAAGAGAAUUUGUGCGGACUCUCCAUAAAAAAUUAUGUACUUAUGAGGAAUUGGUAAUUGCCGCGUACUCUUCCAAAAUUGGGGCUAAGGUCCUGAGGAAGUGGAUGGAGAAGAUAAGCGAGAAGGAGCUGCCUACCACUGCUUAAACAUAUGAUAGAGAGACUUAACUCUUGGGUUCCCCUGAUUUUGUGCGGCGCCAUAUAAGAUUAGGAUCUCUAUAAGCUUUACCAACAGGAAUCUUAAGGAUUUUCACAUACUCUUACAAGGAAAAAUAAUUUCUUAAGAUAUUCAACUUCUAGCUAUUUAACUCCACCUAAAUAGUUUGAGCUUAGUCGGUCCCAAGCCCAGAUAAAGGA